AGUCAAGAUGAGAAUUCUAAGGUGAGCGAGCGAACUCUCGUUAAGGAACUCGGCAAAAUGACCCCGUAACUUCGGGAGAAGGGGUGCUCUUUAGGGUUAACGCCCAGAAGAGCCGCAGUGAAUAGGCCCAAGCGACUGUUUAUCAAAAACACAGGUCUCUGCUAAACCGUAAGGUGAUGUAUAGGGGCUGACGCCUGCCCGGUGCUGGAAGGUUAAGAGGAGUGGUUAGCUUCUGCGAAGCUACGAAUCGAAGCCCCAGUAAACGGCGGCCGUAACUAUAACGGUCCUAAGGUAGCGAAAUUCCUUGUCGGGUAAGUUCCGACCCGCACGAAAGGCGUAACGAUUUGGGCACUGUCUCAACGAGAGACUCGGUGAAAUCAUAGUACCUGUGAAGAUGCAGGUUACCCGCGACAGGACGGAAAGACCCCGUGGAGCUUUACUGUAGCCUGAUAUUGAAAUUCGGCACAGCUUGUACAGGAUAGGUAGGAGCCUUUGAAACGUGAGCGCUAGCUUACGUGGAGGCGCUGGUGGGAUACUACCCUAGCUGUGUUGGCUUUCUAACCCGCACCACUUAUCGUGGUGGGAGACAGUGUCA
rnacentral:rRNA from 1 species